AAUAGUUAAGAAUGUAAAUGCUUCAAAAUGUUUCACAGUUUUAGUUGACGAGACUACUGAUAUUUCUACUAUUGAACAAAUGGCUAUGUGUGUUCGAUAUGUUGACGAUAACGAUUGUAUCCAGUAGAGAUUCCUGAAAUUGAUUACUAUUAACAGUUUAACUGGUUGUGAUUUAGCUGAAUCAAUACUCAACAGUCUGAAUAGUUGUGAGAUUAAUUUAGAUUACUUAUAUGGUCAAGGAUAUGAAGGUGCAAGAAACAUGUCUGGCCAAUAUAAAGGUGUUCAGGCAAUUAUCAAAAAAAAUAUUCUUAAGUUAUAUAUGUGCACUGUGCAGCACACUCUCUGAACUUAGUAGUAUCAACUGCAAGUGGAAUUCAACCAAUUAGAAACUGCUUAGGUAUUAUCGAAAAGUACUAUGUUUUCUUUAAUACACCAAAAACCAAAAUGUUCUUUUAACCAACAUUGAAAAUAGUAAUGAGGAUCCUAAGGUUAAAACUUUAAAAAUAUUAUGUGCUACACGAUGGGUGCAGCGUUAUGAUGCGGCAACAGAUUUCAUUGAACUAUUUGCAUUUGUAGUUGAUUCAAUAGAAAAUAUUUCUAAUUGGAAUGAUUCCACAGCAACGGAAGCUAAUAUACUAUUAAAAGCUAUUGAUUCAGAAUUUCUUAUAUCCUUACAAGUUAUACAAGUGAUUUUUUUCUUUUGGUUUACCAUUGUGUAAGUUUCUACAAAAAGAACAAAUUGAUUUGAGAGAAGCAGUAAGCCUUGCUGAAGAUAUUAUAAAUGUAUUAAAAAAUAUCAGAUUAAAUUGUGAUACUGAAUUCCACAAAUUGUUUUUGCUUGCAAAAGGGAUGUCAGUAAAUAUAGAUAUAAUUUAAAUACUAAAAGAAUAUCUAAAUGACAAGUAAAUCGAGCAAAUCCAGAUCCCAAUUUAAGUGUUGAAGAAUACCACAAAGUGUCAGUAUUUAUACUCUUUUUAUACAACAACUAGGAGAAAGAUUUUCAAUCCAUUCUGAAAUUUUUAAAGGAUUUCAAAGUCUAUUUUCCUAUAAAUUAACUUCUAAUGAGGAGGUAUCAUUUAGAAAAUUACUUGAAUUUUAUUCACCUUCUUUGAAUGUGAACAACUCAAUUGCAGAAUUGAAAUUGUGGAAGAUAAAACUUGAGCGAAUAAACAAUAUUCCGAAAACUGCAAUUAAAGCAUUACAUGUGUGUAAUGCCAAUAUUUAUCCAAAUAUGCAUUUUAUUUUAAAAAUACUAUGCACACUUCCUGUUUCUACAAGUACGCCUGAAAGAAUGUGUUCCAGUCUUAAAAGGAUAAAAACGUAUCUUCGAAACAGUAUGUCCUAGAAAAGACUUAAUGGUCUGGCAAUUUUGGCAAUUCAUAAUAAU